ACCCCGAGCUCGGGCAGCUGGAGGCAAGGCCGCGACAGCCCGAUCCAAAGGCAGCCAGGGGGCCGAGCGGGGCCCCGGCCGCGCGCAGGCUGCGGGGGUCGUCGAGCUCUGCACCCCCACGUCCCCAUUUUCAGUCACCCCCCUUCGCCAGUUAAAGGCGGAAAUCCGCCCCCCCCCCCGCUUUUUUCUCUUGCAGAGGGGGAAAGAGGGAGGCGCGCAGAAUCGCGAGAAGGCAGGCGAGAACUAGUUGGGUCUUGAUAGCCAGAAUCUGGGCCUAUUUUCUCUUUCCCUGGACAUAACAUAACAGAGGAGGGCAGCGCAAACUGACAAACUGACAGACCAGCCGCUGGCCUGUCUGAGCCGGGACGCGAAGACGAGGGCCGAAGCCGUGCGCGGCGGCCCCGGCCCGGGGGAGCCCCGCGCCCCGGCCCCUCCCCCGCGCCGCCGGCGCUCCCUCCUCACCUCCAGUCUCGGCUCCGCUAGGCCCGAACCAUCUCCCGGCUGCGGCAGCGGCAGCGGCAGCGGCGGCGCCGGGCCUGCACCUUCACCGGACGCGCAUUCGGGCCCGCCCAGGGGGCGGCGACAGGCUGCCAAGGGCGAGGGGCUCGGCGCGGCGACGGGGGUUCCGGAGGCCUCGGAAGGCUGAGGCGGCUGAGGCGACGGCGGCGGCGGCGGCAGCGGCGCACCUCAGUCGGCAGAGGCCGAGGUCCCGCCCCGCUCCAUGACGGUCGGGCCCAGCCGGGAGCUGCUGUUUGAGGCGGCGGGGGCGGCCGGACGAGGACCUGGCACCGCGAUCCCCGCCCCGUCCGCUGGCGGCGGCGGCGGCGGCGGCGGCGGCUCGUCUCCCGCAGCCAGGGCUGUGACUGACGCAGCGGCCGUGCCACCCAUGUGACCGGGGCCGGGCGGGUGCGGGGCGUCACGUGACGCCUCCGCGCCCCGCCCCGCCGGCAGAGUUAGGGGGCUGCGGGCCUGCGGCGCUGGGAGCCGACGCCCGGCGGUGCUGACGUGCCAGGCUGUCGGCUCCGGAGACCCGAGGCCGGCCGAGGGCCCGCCCAGGUGGUUCAGACCCGAGCCCCUGGGCACGGCGGUCGCGCCGGGCAGGGCUGGCCAGGCAGGACCGGGCCUGCAAGUCCGGGCGCGCACGCCCUCCCGCGCGUAGCCCGCUAGUGAGGUUCGGAAGGGCGAGGCGGGCCGAGCCGGAUCGACAGGUUCUGGGCUGAGGUGAGGGGCCCAGGCCGCCGCCCCUCGGUAGGGUCUGGCUCAAGCUGAAGCCCUGUGGACCCGGCUUCCCGGCCGUCCGGCCUCGAAUCCAGAGCAGGUCCCGCGGAAAGCACAAGGGACAGGGAAUUGUGCGGGAGGCGGCGCAGACCGCGCUGGAGCGGCUCCAACGCAGCCAGGCUGGCCGCCUUUCUUCUCCUGCUUGUCAGCUCAGCACUUCCUUCCACGAGUGGUUUUUUAGAACGUCACUCUCAACCCUUUGCUGCAUGUCUUUCCUCGCCCAGAAUUGAACCGAGACUUACGGCAGAGUUAGGAGACCUCUCAGGAUGGUCACAGGGUCUCAGCCCAGCGCGUCGCCCGUCCAGAGAGACUACCUCUUGUCCAUCCUUUGAAAAGCACUUUGUCAACUCAUGGCUCUUACUUGUUUUCUUUAUUUGAGGGAGGCUCAUGAAGUAUGUGUGUGUGUUUUAAGCCUUCCUAUUUUGAAGGACCCGUUUUAAAGAUUGUUUUUCAUGAAAUCCGAAGGUUUGGGAGGAUUGUCAUGAAGUAAUAUAAGAAAUGUGCAUAAUCGCAUGCUUUUAUCAGCCCCCAAGGCUGGUAAUCCACUAGCACCAAUAGAAAUAUAAUAAUUUUGGUUUUAAAAUUUCUAACGGGGGGCUGGCAUUGUACCAUUAGGUAAAGCCAAGGCCUGCAGCACCAGCAUCCCGUAUGGAUGCUGGUUGGCAUCCCAGCUGCUCCACUUCCUAUCCAGCUCCCUGCUAAGGUGCCCGGGAAAGCAGUUGAAGAUGGCCUAGGCCCUUGGGCCCCUGUACCCAGGUGGGAGUCCUGGAAGAAGCACCUGGCUCCUUGGCUUCAGCCUGACCCAGUCGUGGCCAUUUGGGGAUUGAACCAGCAAAAGGAAGAUUUCUCUAGGAGUCUCUCUUUUUCUCUCUCUUUAACUCUGCCUUUCAAAUAAAUAAAUUAAAAAAAAAAUUCUAACAGAACACCUACUAUUUCUUUGAAGCCUCACUCUUUAUCUAAUCUUCAUAAAUUUUUAUCUGUAUAAAUUAAGAAUUUUGCUAAUGCAAAACUCAAAACAUGACCUAAUAGAAUGAGAAAUAAUUGCUUCUGCAUCCCUGCUUUUCAACUACUCAUCUUGGAGGGAACCAUUUAGUGUUUUCUAAUGGAUCCUCCCAUAUAUAUGUUUUAAAUAUAUAUAUAUAUAUAAAUACAGGGAUAGGUUUUUUUUUACGAUUGAUUUAUUUGAAAAGCAGAGUUAGAGGUGGAGGCAGAGAGAGAGAGAGAGAGAGAGAGAGAGGUUCUCCAUUCACUGGUUCAUUCCCUAGAUGGGCCUAAUGGCCAGAGCUGAGCCGAUCCAAAGCCAGGAGCCAGGAUGAUUCUUCUGAUUCUUCUGGGUCUCUCACGUGGGUACAGGGGCCCAAGGAUUUAGGCCAUCCUCCACUGCUUUCGCAGGCCAUAGCAGAAAGCUGGAUGGGAGGUGGAGCAGCCAGGUCUAGAACCAGCGCCUAUAUGCGAUGCCAACACUGCAGGCAGCAGUAUUGUUAUGCCACAGCGCCAGCCCUGAUAGUUAUUUUUACACAAUUGCUACAUGGCACUGUUCAGUCCUUCGUUUUAUUGCUAAAAAUAUUUUGAGUGUCCUUCUAUGUUAGUAAAUAAAAAACUGUCUCUUUCUUCUUAGAAGCUAUAUAAUAUUCCAUUGUGUGCUGCAGGUGGGUAUUUAGUUUAGCUGCCAUGAAAUAUCCAAUACAUUGGGCAAUUGUGCCUACCUCAUAAUUAGACUGGAAUCCUUACAUCAAAAGAUAUUUUUAAUUUCAAUAGAUACUGCCAAAUUACAUUGAAGUACUGCCAGUUUCAUUUGCUUUCUUUAGAAUUAAGCUUAAUAUUUACCAUAUUGUUUAAGGUGUGGGAGGAAAAUAGGAAAAGGAAAGAAUAUUUGUCAUUUUGCACAAUAAUAAAUUUAAGUAAAUGAUUAUUAAAAUGCAUAUUGAAAAAAUAUUUUAAAGACUUCUAAUAAAGUGUCUUUGCUUCUUUUGGAACUUUAUUUGAUGAACCCAAACAAUACUAUGCUUUUUGUUCCAUAAAGGAUUGUGAUAAUUUUUCAGUACAAAUGAGACCUUCUUUAAAAAUCGAAGGAGAGAAAGUAUGGUGAAUGUGGACUUUUCUUUAGCAUUCUCCUGCAAAUAAGAUGUUCCUGCUUUAAACAAAGUGUUUGCUUCCCAUCCCCACCCCCCAGGCUGCCUUUAGCAACCCUUCGUUUAAUCAUGACAAUAGGCUAGAUAGAAUUACCAAUUCCAUUCCUCUAAGGGUUUUUAUCCCUGCUUCUGGUUCUUCUUCUUCUUUUUUUUUUUAAGACUUAUUUAUUUAUUUGGAAGGCAGAGUUCUGAGAGGCAGAGGCAGAGAGAUAGAGACAGGUCCUUCAUCUUGGUAGUUAACUCCCAAAUGGCCACAACAGCCGGAACUGCGCCAAUCCAGAGCCAGGAGCUUCUUCCAGGUCUCCCAUGAGGGUGCAGGGGCCCAGGGACUUGGGCCAUCUUCCACUGCUUUCCCAGGCCACACUAGAGAGCUGGAUUGGAAGUGUGGUAGCCGGUACUUGGAGCCCAUAUGGGAUGCUAGGCUAGCACUGCAGGUGACAGCUUUAGCUGCUUUGCUACAGUGCUGGCCCCCCCCCACCCCCACAUUGGUUGUUAUCCUAGUCCUCUGAUUGGUUGUUAUUCCAGUCUCCUAAUUGGUUGUCAUUAUACCUAUUUGAUUGGUUGGUAGCUGUUAUUCUACUCCCCUGAUUUGUUAAAUCUAGAUAGUCACUUUUGUGCAUAAAAGAGCCAGUACCCAAAGGCUUCACCAGGUAACUCCUCCCUUGCAGCCCUGCUCGACUGAUGUGACAGGAGUUUUCUCACUUCAGUGAAUCUUGCCUUGGUGACACAGACAAAAGAAUUUCCUACUCUUUCAGCAAAUGAGAGGAAAAAAAUCUAAAUUUACUUCCAAUUUUUAACAUUUUAUUAUUCCAUCAUUUUUAUUUAGCCAGAUGCUUCCAUGUAAUACAGAUUUUUUUUUCUAACUUCAUGUUCAGAACAAUGUAAGAUUAUUGCAUAAUACAGAAACAGCAGGAAAUACCUACCAUAAAACAGCAUAUUAUUUUUAAGAGAAAAAAAAGAUUGUCUCAUUAACAUGCAAGAUUUUAAUAGUUUAUUGUUAGAGUAGCAGUUCUGAGGAAAGUAUUGUUUACAAUUAAGCGAUAUAAUUUACUAUAGUGAAAAUCACCCUUUUGCAUGUACAGUUCUGUGAUUUCUGACAAGCAUAAAGUUGUAUAACCACUACCAUAACCAAGAUACAGAACAUAUUUAUCACCCAGGCACUCCCGUUUUCAAUGUGGGCAUCCUAACCAGCAUCUUAACUGCUAGUUGAAACACCCACCCCUAAACUGAAUUUUUUUUUUUUUUUUUUUUUUUUUUUUUUUAGGCAGAGUUAGAGAGAGAGAGAGACAGAGAGAAAGGUCUUCCUUUUUCUGUUGGUUCACCCCCAAGUGGCCGCUAUGGCCGACUAAACUGAAAUUUUAUCUUAUUUUUUAUGAUUUUCUUUCUUUUUUUUUAUUUGGAAGAGAUGGACAAAGAGAGGAAUCCCCUCUACUGGUUCACUCCCCAAAUGCCUGCAACAGCGAGGGCUAGGCCAGACCAAAGCCAGAAGCUAGAAGCCAAAACUUCAACCAGGGUCUCCCACACGGGUAAAAGGAUCCCAAGUACUUGAACUAUUAUCUGUGGUGUUCCAGGGUGCACAUUAGCAGAAAGCUGGGUGGGAAGCACAGGAGCCAGGACUCAAGCCAUAUUUCCAGUUUGAAAUCUGGGCAUCCUUAUGUGGUAAGUUCACCAAUGUGCCAAAUGCCCAACCCGGAAUUUAUCUUUUAAUUACAUUUUCCAUGAAUUUUUUGAAAUACCCUCAUAUAUAUUAUAUAAAAACAUAAACUUUAAGGACACUUCUGAUAACUUUGGGCCAACUUAGAUAAUCAAGAAUUUAAUCUCCCUAUUUUAAGAUCAAAUGAAUAAAUAACCUUAAUUCCAUCUGUCACCUUAAUUCUGCUCUGCCAUGUAAAAUAGCAUAUAUUCGCAGGGUUCAGGGAUUAACACAUGAACAUCUUUGAGGGAGCUUUUUAACAAUGAUUAUUUAAGAGAAAGAGAAAUAUAGACAGACACAAAGACACACAAAGCUCCUAGCUACUAGUUCAUGCCCCGAUGCCCACUCUGGCCUUUGACUCCAGCUUGCUGGUAUUGCAGACUCUGGGAGGGUGCUGCUGCCUACUUGGGAGAACUAUAUUGAAUUUUUGGAUCCCCACUUCCACUUUAGCCCAGUCUUGGCCAUUUCAGGCAUUUGAGGAGUGAACCAACAGAUGGGAGUUCUCUCUUUGCUUCUCAAGUUAAAAAAAAAAAAAAAAAAAAACUAUUAAAAU